rnacentral:rRNA from 1 species
AUUGAACGCUGGCGGCAUGCCUUACACAUGCAAGUCGAACGGUAACGGGCCUUCGGGUGCCGACGAGUGGCGAACGGGUGAGUAAUGUAUCGGAACGUACCUUUCAGUGGGGGAUAACGUAGCGAAAGUUGCGCUAAUACCGCAUAUUCUGUGAGCAGGAAAGCAGGGGAUCGCAAGACCUUGCGCUGAUUGAGCGGCCGAUAUCAGAUUAGCUAGUUGGUGAGGUAAAGGCUCACCAAGGCGACGAUCUGUAGCGGGUCUGAGAGGAUGAUCCGCCACACUGGAGCUGAGACACGGUCCAGACUCCUACGGGAGGCAGCAGUGGGGAAUUUUGGACAAUGGGGGCAACCCUGAUCCAGCCAUGCCGCGUGAGUGAAGAAGGCCUUCGGGUUGUAAAGCUCUUUCGGCCGGGAAGAAAUCGUAUCAGCUAAUACCUGGUGCGGAUGACGGUACCGGCAUAAGAAGCACCGGCUAACUACGUGCCAGCCGCCGCGGUAAUAC